rnacentral:tRNA from 1 species
AGCGGAAAGUACCAGUAAAAUGGUUUUUAAAAAGGAGCUCGUCGGGCUCAUAACCCGAAGGUCACAGGUUCGAGUCCUGUUCCCGCUA